rnacentral:rRNA from 1 species
AUGAGAGCUUUAUGCUGGAACUGUCGGGGGAUUAGUGACCCUGCGACAGUUCAUGAGCUCCAAGAUCUCGUGGGGGCUAGUGCGUCGUCGGUUCUUUGCAUUGUGGAGACUCAACUAGCAAAAAAUCGAGUGGAGGGUCUGGCGGUUUCUUUAGGUUUUCAAAACAGUUUUGUAGUAGCUAGUAGUGGUCGUAGUGGUGGUCUGUGUAUUUUUUGGAAGGCGUAUGUUAAUCUGGUAAUAAAGAAUUUUUCGCAGUAUCAUAUCGACUCCUAGGUCUCUGAACUAGGGUCUGAUCAGUGGCGCCUCACAUGCUUUUAUGGAGAGGCAAAUCGGAGCCUGCGGUAUAAAACAUGGGAUACUAUGAGAAGGUUGAGGGGAGAAAGCACGUUGCCGUGGCUUUGCAUAGGCGAUUUCAAUGAGAUACUUCGCCAAGAGGAACAAAUGGGCCCUAAUCCUUGUGAUAGUGCUCAAAUGGAGGGAUUUAGAGAAGCGGUGGAUGUUUGUGAGCUGGCGGAUUUGGGAUACACUGGCUGGACUGGACCUUCGAGAAGCGUGUUGCAGGAGGCCAGUUUUGUAGGGUCCGUCUGGACAGAGCUCUAG